rnacentral:rRNA from 1 species
GAUGAACGCUGGCGGCGUGCCUAAUACAUGCAAGUCGAGCGAAUGGAUUAAGAGCUUGCUCUUAUGAAGUUAGCGGCGGACGGGUGAGUAACACGUGGGUAACCUGCCCAUAAGACUGGGAUAACUCCGGGAAACCGGGGCUAAUACCGGAUAACAUUUUGAACCGCAUGGUUCGGAAUUGAAAGGCGGCUUCGGCUGUCACUUAUGGAUGGACCCGCGUCGCAUUAGCUAGUUGGUGAGGUAACGGCUCACCAAGGCAACGAUGCGUAGCCGACCUGAGAGGGUGAUCGGCCACACUGGGACAGAGACACGGCCCAGACUCCUACGGGAGGCAGCAGUAGGGAAUCUUCCGCAAUGGACGAAAGUCUGACGGAGCAACGCCGCGUGAGUGAUGAAGGCUUUCGGGUCGUAAAACUCUGUUGUUAGGGAAGAACAAGUGCUAGUUGAAUAAGCUGACACCUUGACGGUACCUAACCAGAAAGCCACGGCUAACUACGUGCCAGCCGCCGCUGUAA